GACGAACGCUGGCGGCGUGCUUAACACAUGCAAGUCGAACGGACAGGCCCGGCGCUUGCGGGGUGCUCGAUUGGCGAACGGGUGAGUAAAACGUGUGUAACCUGCACCUGUCUUACGGAGAAAAUUAGGGAACAGGGGAUAAAAUCGGAUAGGAGCUCCUGCUCCACGGUGGGCGUUGGAAAGUUUCGGUCGUUGGGGAUGGACUCGCGGCUUAUCAGCUUGUUGGUCGGGUAGUGGCUUACAAAGGGUUCGACGGGUAGCCGGCCUUGGAGGUGUACCGGCGACAUGGGUACUGAGAGACGGCGCAGUCUCCAACGGGAGGCAGCGGUGGGGAGUAUGGCGGAGCGGGCGGAAGCCUGAGGCAGCAGCGCCGCGUGCGGAAUGACGGCUUUCGGGUGGUAAACCGCUGUGGCCGGUGAUGAGGCGUGAGUGACGGUAAUGGGUAAAGAAGCACCGGCUAACUACGUG
rnacentral:rRNA from 1 species